rnacentral:rRNA from 1 species
UACAGAGGGUGCAAGCGUUAAUCGGAAUUACUGGGCGUAAAGCGUGCGCAGACGGUCUCGUAAGUCGGGUGUGAAAUCCCCGGGCUCAACCUGGGAAUUGCAUUCGAAACUGCGAGGCUAGGGUACGGAAGAGGGAAGCGGAAUUUCUGGUGUAGCGGUGAAAUGCGUAGAUAUCAUGAGGAAUACCAGAGGCGAAGGCGGCUACCUGGGCAAUUGCUGACGCUCAGGCACGAAAGCGUGGGGAGCAAACAGG